UACACCAUUUUCAGAGUUUUGUUUCUGUUGAAUUGGGUAUCAAAUGGGGCGUUCAACUUGGAAGUAUCAAGUCUUCUUUUUGUUCUCUUUGAUCUUGCAUUCUCAACUUCCCUUUCCAUCGUCUCUCUCUUCUUCCUUGUCUUCAAUGCCACCAUGCUCUGCUCUACUCCAUUUUAGUAAGUCUUUUUCUCUUGACCAACGUGUUUCUGCCUCAAAUACUUAUCCUAAAACAGCCAGUUGGCGGGAGGAUAAGCACUGUUGCAGUUGGGAUGGGGUCGAGUGUGACAAAAACAAAAGCCAUGUGGUUGGCCUGGACCUUACUUCCAGCUGGCUUAUGGGCCACAUUCAUUCCAACGGUACCCUGUUUUUUCUUCCCAAUCUCAGGAGGUUGAACCUCGCUGACAAUCACUUCCGUGGCUCCCUAAUUCCUUCUGAGUUUGGCAACUUUAAGAGUUUGACUUAUCUCAACCUUUCUUUUUCCGUAUUUUCUGGCCAAAUCCCGUUUGAAAUCUCUCAGUUGUCUUCACUGGUUUCACUUGAUCUUUCUAAGAAUGGGCUCUUAAUCAAAGCUCCAGUCUGGAAAAGAGUCAUUGGUAACCUAACUCAGUUAAGGGAACUUAUUCUGGAUAGGACAAAUAUGUCCUCAAUUAGAACUAAUUCUUUGAUGAAUCUAUCCUCCUCUUUGACAACUCUUAGUCUCCGUUACUGUGACUUGCGGGGAAAACUCGAAAAUAACAUCCUCUGCCUUCCCAGUAUACAAACCCUUGAUCUUUCUGAGAAUUGGUUAUCAAUCGAAGCUCCAGUAUGGAAAAGUGUCAUUGGUAACCUAACUCAGUUAAGGGAACUUCUUCUGGGUGGGACAAAUAUGUCCUCAAUUAGACCUAAUUCUUUGACGAAUCUAUCCUCCUCUUUGACAACUCUUAGUCUCCAUUACUGUGACUUGCGGGGAAAACUUGAAGAUAACAUCCUCUGCCUUCCCAGUAUACAAACCCUUGAUUUGUCAGAUUAUAGUUUUAACGGUCUGUUGCCGUCAUCACUAUUCAACUUGCCGAAUCUCUCAACUUUAGACCUUGGGUACAAUCAACUUGUUGGUCCCCUUCCUAGUCAUGUAAGUGGUUUGAAUCUAAUUGUUCUCUCUUUAAGUUCAAAUUUCCUAAAUGGAACACUGCCAUCUUGGUUGUUCAGUAUGCCAUCUUUGGAGACUUUGUAUCUUGAUCGUAAUCAAUUCUUUGGUGAGAUUGGUGAAUUCAAGUACAAUUCAUUGAAGAAUCUUGAUUUGGGUUAUAAUAAGCUACAUGGCUCUAUACCUAGGUCAGUAUCUAGACUUGUGAACCUUACUAUCCUAUCUCUCCCAUCAAAUAACUUGAGUAUUAUGUUGGGGUCUAAAAUGUUUUCAAAGUUCAAAAAUCUUGAGACUCUUGAUUUGUCAAAUAACUCAGUUAGCAUCAAUAAUAAUGCUGCCUAUGCCCUGCCCAAUCUUCAAUAUUUGAACUUGGCUUACUCCAAUAUCAGUGAAUUCCCAAGAUGGUUGGGGGAUGUGGGGAAUAAUUCAUUAUAUUAUGUUGAUCUUCGUAACAAUUUGCUACAAGGACAAUUUCCCACUCUAAAUUCUUCCAAUUUGCAAUUCAUCUUUUUCUCCAAUAACAAUUUAACGGGAGAAAUCCCUUCUUUAAUUUGCGAUGCAAUUCACCUUGGAGUUCUAGACUUGUCUCAUAACAACUUAAGUGGCAUGAUUCCUAAGUGUUUGGUAAACUCUACUUCCCUCUCGGUCUUGGAUUUGCGAAUGAAUAGCCUUCAUGGUACCAUUCCUACAACAUUUGUGAUCAGAAAUAAUUUUAGGACUAUUAACCUUAAUGGCAAUCAAUUGGAAGGGCCAUUACCACCAUCUUUGGCAAAUUGUAGGGACUUGGAAAUUCUAGAUCUUGGAAACAAUAAGAUAAAUGGAGUCUUCCCUUAUUGGUUGGGAAGUCUUUAUAAAUUGCAAGUUCUUGUCAUAAGAUCAAAUAGAUUUCAAGGUCGUAUAGGCAAUCCUAAAACCAAAUUUCCUUUCCCGAAUUUGCGAAUCAUAGACAUCUCUAACAAUCAGUUUAAUGGUCCUUUGCCAAUAAAAUAUUUCAAAUAUUUGAAAGCCAUGAAGAUUGUGGAAGAAAGUGAAGUUGCAUCGAAAUAUAUGGGAGAAAAUUAUUAUCAAGAUUCAUUGAAUAUCAUGAUGAAAGGGCAUUAUAUUGAGAUGGAGAGAGUCCUAACCAUCUUAACAAGCAUUGAUUUUUCAAACAAUAGUUUCAGAGGAGAGAUGCCAAAGAUAAUUGGAAGGCUUAAAUCACUCAAGGGGCUCAACUUUUCUUACAAUAACCUUAUAGGUUAUAUUCCAUCAUCAAUUGGAAAUUUGACCAAUCUUGAAUGGUUGGACCUCUCUUUCAACAAGCUCGGUGGGGAGAUUCCUAGUCAAUUGACAGAUCUAACAUCGCUUGAAGUCUUAAAUCUAUAACAUAACCAACUCACAGGACACAUACCUUCAGGAAAUCAAUUCAAUACAUUCAACAAUAAUUCGUACACCGAAAACUUGGGAUUGUGUGGGUUUCCAUUGUCAAGAACAUGCGACAACAAUGAGGCAAAGCAACCACCACCACCUACCUUGCAACAAGAUGAAAAUUUAGAGCAUGAAAAUGGGUUUGGUUGGCAAGCUGUAUCCAUAGGUUACGCAAGUGGAACAAUAUUCGGAAUGUUUAUGGGAUAUCUUAUGUUUAAAAUUGGAAAACCAAAGUGCCUUGUGAGGAUGGUCAAAUUAGAGCAGCAUAUCAUGCUUAGAAGAUUGAAGAAGAAUGCCCACAAACGUGGUGGAAGAAGAUAACUGUUUCUAUGGCUAUGGUGGAAUAACUUUAGCACUGGUAAUUAUAGACUGAGGCCCUUAGACUUUUGUGCCCGCCUGCCUAGAGAUUUCUUUCUGCUCCCUUGAGGAGAAAAACAAGUGAGGAUUUCAAUGGAUUCGACUUAGCCUUGGGCAGUUAAUUGUGAUAGUUGGUGUUGGAGUUUGUAUUAGGUCCAAAAUUUCCUCCACCUUGGAUGGGAGAAGGUUAUGAGCUAAGCAUCUCAAACUUCAUGGCAUACUGUGAACUGAAGAUUGGCUAUCUAAAUGAAUGUUCUCAGGUGUGGCAAGUGCAUCAAGUAUGAAAAAAAAUACCUAUCACAUAUUCUCACCUCCUUACAUAUAACACGCCUCAUGCUCUUUUAAUUUAGUUCCAGUAUAAUUUUGAAAGGAGUUCGUGCCCGUAACAUGCAAGGAAUUGCAAUGUCUUAGAUCUUCACUGCUAUGUCUUAGCCUGCUCAAAUUUAUUGAUAACUAUGUGCAUUAUCUGACAUAUGAGGUAGCUAUUUCCUAUCCUCUAGCAAAAUUUGUUUUCCACUCUUUGUGAAGAUAUUUCCAUAUUGCUAAGGCUUUUUAGUGAGACCCUUUGUCUCAUAGAAUGAUUUCUUUUCUACAUAUACUGUUGUUUAUCAACAAAGCUCAAGUGCUACUCCAGUUUUCUUUUGAAAGAAAGUAGGGGAAAGAUGUUGGAUGGAGAGAUCUAAUUGAAAAGUUGAGAACAAUGAACAAGAAAAAUGUGAGAAAGCUCCUAAUCAACAUGUUGAGCCCAAGAAAAUUUGUGAAGAUUCAACUCAAUGGAUUCUCUUUCUAUGAGUUCUCUUUGGGGUUUAUUCUUAGUAGCCAGUUUUUUCAAAUGUAGUAAUUGAUGUGCCUAUAGUAUGCCACAGUAGCUCAAUUUUUUAUAUCGUCUUCCAUUGACAUUCUUAAGCUAGAUGAAUCUUUUGUUGGUUUAAUUGGGAACACAAGAAGUCCAUCAAGGGCACUUAACUAGCUCCAGAAUUCUACAAUCCUGAUUCCAUUCUAUAAGUGACACAUAUACCUCUCUCUCUCUCUCUCUCUCUUUGUUUGUGUGUCUCUUUAAUCUUUCGCACUUUUUGCAUCAAAUUCAAGAGAUAAUUCAGUGCUAAGCUUUAGAGCUAAGAGGCAAGGUUGAGUAGAGUUGCAAGACAGAGCCAUACUUGAUUCAUCUUUGCACAAUGAGGUUGGAAAAGACAAAUAAUUGAGUUUUUUCUGAUGAACAAUAAAUGAAUAUGUUCAUGUAAAAUAAGAUUGGAGGACAAAGAUUUGUCAGAAUUAUAUUUUCUGUGUAUAGAACUUUUACAUUGGUCUGAAUAUAUAGAUGUUGUUACAAUGAACCUAGACAAAAAUAUUGACAGCAUAAUCCCAUAAUUGCAGCUAGACAGAAUAGUAAUAGCUACCAAAUCCCAUAAUUAUUGCUAAUUGGAAACCCCUUAAUUGAGCUGAUUGGGAAUCCCUUAAUUGUCUCUAAUACUCCCCCUCAAGGUGGAGCGUGUACAUGAGUAACGCCUAGCUUGCUGAUAAGACGACGAAAAGAAUCCUUACCCAAAGGUUUGGUAAAAAUGUCAGCAAUUUGGUCAAGGGAUCGAAUAUGACAAGGUUGAACCAAUUUGGAUUGGAUUUUUUGUGUACAGAACUUUUACAUCGGUCUUAAUAUAUAGAUGCUGUUACAAUGAACCUAGACAAAAAAUUAACAGUUGCCAAAUCCCAUAAUUACAGCUGACUGGAAACCCCUUAAUUAAGCUGAUUGGGGAUCCCUUAAUUGUCUCUAAUAGUUCAACACACCAUAUAUGUCGGGUUUGUGAUUUGAAUAUUGUUGUUCACUUGUUUGUAUCUAGGAUAUGUGAUUCCUUAAAUAGCCUUAACAAACAUGAACAUCUUGUGAGUUUGUAUAGAUUUUUAUUAUUGUUAUGGUACUACAAAAAAUUAACAGUUGCCAAAUCCCAUAAUUACAGCUGACUGGAAACCCCUUAAUUAAGCUGAUUGGGAAUCCCUUAAUUGUCUCUAAUAGUUCAACACACCAUAUAUGUCGGGUUUGUGAUUUGAAUAUUGUUGUUCAUUUGUUUGUAUCUAGGAUAUGUGAUUCCUUAAAUAGCCUUAACAAACAUGAACAUCUUGUGAGUUUGUAUAGAUUUUUAUUAUUGUUAUGGUACUACAAAAAAUUAACAGUCCAUAAUUACAGCUGACUAGAAACCCCUUAAUUAAGCUGAUUGGGAAUCCCUUAAUUGUCUCUAAUAGUUCAACACACCAUAUAUGUCGGGUUUGUGAUUUGAAUAUUAUCGUUCACUUGUUUGUAUCUAGGAUAUGUGAUUCCUUAAAUAUCCUUAACAAACAUGAAAAUCUUGUGAGUUUGUAUAGAUUUUUAUUAUUGUUGUGGUACUAGGUAUUAUA